rnacentral:rRNA from 1 species
CGCAAUCAAUUGUCCCAUAAAUCGAGACUUGUAUGAAUGGCUAAACGAGGUCUUAACUGUCUCUUACAGAUAAUCAGUGAAAUUGAUCCCCCUGUGCAAAAGCAGGAAUAAACACAUAAGACGAGAAGACCCUGUGGAACUUAAAAAUCAGUAGCCACCACACACUAAAUCCCACCCUACCCAGGCCCACCACUAAAAACACUGGCUCACAUUUUUCGGUUGGGGCGACCUUGGAGAAAAGCAAAACCUCCAAAAAUAAGAGCAACUUCUCUUUACCAAGAACAACCCCUCAACGUACAAACAGUAACCUGACCCAAUACAAUUGACCAAUGGACCAAGCUACCCCAGGGAUAACAGCGCAAUCUCCUUCAAGAGCCCAUAUCGCCAAGGAGGUUUACGACCUCGAUGUUGGAUCAGGACACCCUAAUGGUGCAGCCGCUAUUAAGGGUUCGUUUGUUCAACGAU